GUGAUUGACAAUUUGCUCUGGGUGAUUGGAUGCCAGUGACCGGUACUGUCAAAAUGAAUGUGAGGAGGAUUUCUACAAGUAACAGCCAGUGAUUUUAUUAUUAAUGACCACUUGUUCUUGAUCUAAUUUUUUUUUUUUUCUUUAAUCUGUUGUGUUAUUGACAAGCUAAUAUCUUGUACAUAGCUAACACAGCACCCUUACAGCCGGAGGACACACACUGGCGUUGGGCAAUAAGGAGUAGUGUCUUUUUUAUUAUUACAAACCACUCCCUGCUAACUUAACAUUCAGGCACUUCCUGUUAUAAGUAAAGUGAUUUGGGCUGGAGUUCAGGAGGGAAUCUAUGAAGUACACGUAUCCAUAUAAGCACGUUGGAGUUAAAAGCGUCAGACCUUCCUCCUGGGGGUAUUUUUAUUUUUAUUUUUUUCACAAUUGGCUCUUUUGAACUUGCGGGGGAGGGGGGAGCUUAAUUAAUGAUAGAACAAUUAGAGCUUCAGAUAAAGUCACUUCCUUUUUUAAUUUACAAAAGGUGAAGGGUUUAAAUAUGUAUUUCCUCAUCUUGUGGCCAAAGCAACAAAAAAUGAAAAGCACAUCACUUUGCAGCAGAGGAUUGUAACAUUCAGUUUCCUUUAGCACGAUGACUUCAAUAAUUAGAAAUGGAUUGAAAAAGCUGCUACAAGAUUACCCCAAAUACUAGUAAUUAAAUAAACUGAACAUGCGGAGCCGACCUCAGCCUUGAAGUUACAUACUUGUAAUUGUGUUCUCCAAGGUAUACGCGUCACUGGAAUUUUUCUUUUCCUCUCUGUCAUUUUGGGACUGUGGAAUUAAACCAGUGCAAGAAGACUGAAGAUUGUAAUAUAAAUGUGCCAACAAAUAAACACCAGUAUUUCACAUUCAG